rnacentral:rRNA from 1 species
ACGAACGCUGGCGGCGUGCUUCACCCAUGCAAGUCGAACGGAAAGGCCUUUUCGGAGGUACUCGAGUGGCGAACGGGUGAGUAACACGUGGGUGAUCUGCCCUGCACUCUGGGAUAAGCCUGGGAAACUGGGUCUAAUACCGGAUAGGACCGCACUUUAGUGUGUGUGGUGGAAAGUUUUUUCGGUGUAGGAUGAGCCCGCGGCCUAUCAGCUUGUUGGUGGGGUAAUGGCCUACCAAGGCGGCGACGGGUAGCCGGACUGAGAGGUUGGUCGGCCACAUUGGGACUGAGAUACGGCCCAGACUCCUACGGGAGGCAGCAGUGGGGAAUAUUGCACAAUGGGCGCAAGCCUGAUGCAGCGACGCCGCGUGGGGGAUGACGGCCUUCGGGUUGUAAACUCCUUUCGCCAGGGACGAAGCGUUUUGUGACGGUACCUGGAGAAGAAGCACCGGCUAACUACGUG